CCCAGACUCCUACGGGAGGCAGCAGUGGGGGAUAUUGCACAAUGGGGGAAACCCUGAUGCAGCGACGCCGCGUGAGUGAAGAAGUAUUUCGGUAUGUAAAGCUCUAUCAGCAGGGAAGAAGAUGACAGUACCUGAGUAAGAAGCCCCGGCUAACUACGUGCCAGCAGCCGCGGUAAUACGUAGGGGGCAAGCGUUAUCCGGAUUUACUGGGUGUAAAGGGAGCGUAGACGGAUGGAUAAGUCUGAAGUGAAAGCCCGGGGCUCAACUCCGGGACUGCUUUUGAAACUGUGAAACUGGAGUGCAGGAGAGGUAAGCGGAAUUCCUGGUGUAGCGGUGAAAUGCGUAGAUAUCAGGAGGAACACCAGUGGCGAAGGCGGCUUACUGGACUGUAACUGACGUUGAGGCUCGAAAGCGUGGGGAGCAAACAGGAUUAGAUACCCCGGUACC
rnacentral:rRNA from 1 species